rnacentral:rRNA from 1 species
GAUGAACGCUGGCGGCGUGCUUAACACAUGCAAGUCGAACGAAACACCUUAUUUGAUUUUCUUCGGAACUGAAGAUUUGGUGAUUGAGUGGCGGACGGGUGAGUAACGCGUGGGUAACCUGCCCUGUACAGGGGGGAUAACAGUUAGAAAUGACUGCAAAUACCGAAUAAGACCACAGCACCGCAUGGUGCAGGGGUAAAAACGCCGGUGGUACAGGAUGGACCCGCGUCUGAUUAGCUGGUUGGUGAGGUAACGGCUCACCAAGGCGACGAUCAGUAGCCGGCUUGAGAGAGUGAACGGCCACAUUGGGACUGAGACACGGCCCAAACUCCUACGGGAGGCAGCAGUGGGGAAUAUUGCACAAUGGGGGAAACCCUGAUGCAGCGACGCCGCGUGAGUGAAGAAGUAUCUCGGUAUGUAAAGCUCUAUCAGCAGGGAAGAAAAUGACGGUACCUGACUAAGAAGCCCCGGCUAACUACGUGCCAGCCGCCGCAGUAA